UACGUAGGGUGCAAGCGUUAAUCGGAAUUACUGGGCGUAAAGCGUGCGCAGGCGGUUAUUUAAGACAGGUGUGAAAUCCCCGGGCUUAACCUGGGAACUGCAUUUGUGACUGCAUAGCUAGAGUACGGUAGAGGGGGAUGGAAUUCCGCGUGUAGCAGUGAAAUGCGUAGAUAUGCGGAGGAACACCGAUGGCGAAGGCAAUCCCCUGGACCUGUACUGACGCUCAUGCACGAAAGCGUGGGGAGCAAACAGG
rnacentral:rRNA from 1 species